rnacentral:lncRNA from 1 species
ACAAAAGCUGGCGUCUGAGGCAAGUGCGAAAUAAACCACUUGUACAGAAGAGGAAUGCAACAGACGAUAGUUCCACCACCCUUAGAAUCCUUAGAUGCAAAGAGAAAUUCAUAUCACCCAACAAAGUAGGCACAGGAUUCCCAAUCAAGAAAAGUAUAAUGGCGUUAACAUCAACAAAACAGUCAAUGUUAGGGAACAAAGCUAAUCCAUAGAUGAGCAACACCAGAUGGCUUCAAAAGCAUCCACACUACCAGCUUGAGCAAAAGUGGU